rnacentral:rRNA from 1 species
CCAGAGAACUUAGCAGAGAUGCUUUGGUGCCUUCGGGAACUCUGAGACAGGUGCUGCAUGGCUGUCGUCAGCUCGUGUUGUGAAAUGUUGGGUUAAGUCCCGCAACGAGCGCAACCCUUAUCCUUUGCUGCCAGCGGUUCGGCCGGGAACUCAAAGGAGACUGCCGGUGAUAAACCGGAGGAAGGUGGGGAUGACGUCAAGUCAUCAUGGCCCUUACGGCCAGGGCUACACACGUGCUACAAUGGCGCAUACAAAGAGAAGCGACCUCGCGAGAGCAAGCGGACCUCAUAAAGUGCGUCGUAGUCCGGAUUGGAGUCUGCAACUCGACUCCAUGAAGUCGGAAUCGCUAGUAAUCGUAGAUCAGAAUGCUACGGUGAAUACGUUCCCGGGCCUUGUACACACCGCCCGUCACACCAUGGGAGUGGGUUGCAAAAGAAGUAGGUAGCUUAACCUUCGGGAGGGCGCUUACCACUUUGUGAUUCAUGACUGGGGUGAAGUCGUAACAAGGUAAGCGUAGCGAG